UCCUGAAAUAAACAAAUCAGCAAUUCCCUUGAUGACACGAACUACAGCUUUCUCAGACUUGAUGCGAAGAAAUGCACAUAAACAGGACCAGUUAGAAUGGCUGUACUUGGGACAUACCGACACCACACAAGAAAUCAUCAAUACGUAAAACCCCCCCCCCCCCCCAAAAAAAAAAAGCUCCAGUGACAAAUCUACCACAAACACGGUCAAGCCAACACUGCAAGCUCUGUCAACCAAGAAAACUCCUAGAACCUGCACGCCUAUUUUCAUUUUCAUCUCCCACAUGAAACUAUAGUUCUUGGCACUGAAUAAUAAAAAAGUUGCGCAAAUAUCCAAUCUAAAAUCCCAUGAUGCACUGAAAAAAUCAAUUUGAAGCCCUAUAAAAGUCAAAUAGAUGAACCAUGAUAGAAAGGCGGAGAAUAAUUCCCAAACAUGACGGCAUUUCCAGCACAUCUGAAUAAGAUGACAUGACAAGACUCCUUAGACACUUAAAUCACCAUAAUGCAGCAUUAGCAAGAGCCAAACCAAAACUGCCUUUACGUCCUGUGAAAUAUAAAUUGAAGGAUCCUACCCACAACGCCAAUUCACUAAAAAUAUAUAUCACCAACACAUCACUACAAUGCCAAAUAAAUGAAACAUACUUUUGAAUAGAAUUAUAUGUCUGUGCAGCGCAAGAACAUAUGAAGCAUGUACCGACGGAAGACUUGAAGCUGGACCGAGGAUAAGCUAGAAGAGCUCUAUAAGAGCGAAACUUUUUACACUUCUUCGAAGAUAAAGAGAGAGGCUGAUCACAAAACACAGUAAAAAAGAAGGAACCGAGGAAGGCAAAGUAAUCCAAUUCAAGCACUGCACCUGCCAACUAAAGGUAGAAAUACCUCACGCAAGAAACCUUGAAUUGUGAAAUAGGGAAUGAUCUGCGAAAUAGGGAAAUCCGGCAAAUUGGAUAUGAGCUGGCUCUGUAUGCCUUCAGUAAGA
rnacentral:lncRNA from 1 species